AUGACGUUCCUCCCACCAAAUCUCAGAGACUUUGAUUUCAUCCCAUCCAUAGGCACCUCUGGAGGUAUUCUAACUGCUUGGGACGGUAAUCUCUGGACUUGCUCCUCGAUAUCUAAAAAUCAGUUCUUCAUCACUUGCUCCUUUGAAUCCAAGGUGGAUGACCUCUCAUUUACUUUAACUAAUGUGUACGGCCCUUGCGACCCGUCUGAAAAACGUGCUUUCUUAGACUUGCUCAUAAGUCUCCCUUCCACAAUUACAGGCCCUUGGGCUAUCAUUGGCGACUUCAACCUCAUCCUCCGCCGCUCAGAUAAAUCUUCCCCAAACUUCAACUCGAUUGAGGCCAUGCUUUUCUCUGACGCUAUCCAAUCCAUGAGACUUCAAGACCUCCCCCUCCUCGACCGGCGCUAUACUUGGUCCAACCAACAAGACGCUCCCAUCCUCGUACGUUUAGACCGGGCUCUAGUCAACAUGGCCUAGGCUCAGCACUUCCCAGAUAGCGCUCUCACCUCCUCCACUCGAUCCACGUCAGACCACGUCCCAAUCCAACUGUCG
rnacentral:rRNA from 1 species